rnacentral:rRNA from 1 species
ACGCACGCUGGCGGCGUGCUUAACACAUGCAAGUCGAACGGAAAGGCCCUGCUUUUGUGGGGUGCUCGAGUGGCGAACGGGUGAGUAACACGUGAGUAACCUGCCCUUGACUUUGGGAUAACUUCAGGAAACUGGGGCUAAUACCGGAUAGGAGCUCCUGCUGCAUGGUGGGGGUUGGAAAGUUUCGGCGGUUGGGGAUGGACUCGCGGCUUAUCAGCUUGUUGGUGGGGUAGUGGCUUACCAAGGCUUUGACGGGUAGCCGGCCUGAGAGGGUGACCGGCCACAUUGGGACUGAGAUACGGCCCAGACUCCUACGGGAGGCAGCAGUGGGGAAUAUUGCACAAUGGGCGGAAGCCUGAUGCAGCAACGCCGCGUGCGGGAUGACGGCCCUCGGGUUGUAAACCGCUUUCGCCUGUGACGAAGCGUGAGUGACGGUAAUGGGUAAAGAAGCACCGGCUAACUACGUG